rnacentral:rRNA from 1 species
UACGGAGGGCAGCAGUGGGGAAUAUUGCACAAUGGGCGCAAGCCUGAUGCAGCCAUGCCGCGUGUAUGAAAAAGGCCUUCGGGUUGUAAAGUACUUUCAGUCGUGAGGAAGGUGUUAAGGUUAAUAACCUUAGCAAUUGACGUUAGCGACAGAAGAAGCACCGGCUAACUCCGUGCCAGCAGCCGCGGUAAUACGGAGGGUGCGAGCGUUAAUCGGAAUUACUGGGCGUAAAGGGCACGCAGGCGGUUAAUUAAGUUGGAUGUGAAAUCCCCGGGCUUAACCUGGGAAUGGCAUUCAAGACUGGUUAGCUAGAGUCUUGUAGAGGGGGUUAGAAUUCCAUGUGUAGCGGUGAAAUGCGUAGAGAUGUGGAGGAAUACCGGUGGCGAAGGCGGCCCCUGGACAAAGACUGACGCUCAUGUGCGAAAGCGUGGGGAGCAAACAGGGAUUAGAUACC